rnacentral:ncRNA from 1 species
CAUCGUGAGGUGAUGUGGGAAGGAAGCUUCAAGCAAAUAUCUGCACUGAGGUACACAAAUCACAUAUAAGGCCUGGUUGUUGGGGUAAGGCGGCAAAGAUCGUCGAAGCCCGUUCCACCGAAACAGCAGCUGGGUAGAUGUGGCAGUAGUAGAUGGAAAGUACA